AUUGAACGCUGGCGGCAGGCCUAACACAUGCAAGUCGAGCGGAUGAAGGUAGCUUGCUCCUGGAUUCAGCGGCGGACGGGUGAGUAAUGCCUAGGAAUCUGCCUGGUAGUGGGGGAUAACGUCCGGAAACGGGCGCUAAUACCGCAUACGUCCUGAGGGAGAUAGUGGGGGAUCUUCGGACCUCACGCUAUCAGAUGAGCCUAGGUCGGAUUAGCUAGUUGGUGGGGUAAAGGCCUACCAAGGCGACGAUCCGUAACUGGUCUGAGAGGAUGAUCAGUCACACUGGAACGGAGACACGGUCCAGACUCCUACGGGAGGCAGCAGUGGGGAAUAUUGGACAAUGGGCGAAAGCCUGAUCCAGCCAUGCCGCGUGUGUGAAGAAGGUCUUCGGAUUGUAAAGCACUUUAAGUUGGGAGGAAGGGCAGUAGGUUAAUACCUUGCUGUUUUGACGUUACCAACAGAAUAAGCACCGGCUAACUUCGUG
rnacentral:rRNA from 1 species